rnacentral:rRNA from 1 species
GAUCAUGGCUCAGGAUGAACGCUGGCGGCGUGCCUAACACAUGCAAGUCGAACGGACUUUUCAUGAAGCCUAGCGAUUGAAAAGUUAGUGGCGGACGGGUGAGUAACGCGUGGGUAACCUGCCUUGUACUGGGGGACAACAGUUGGAAACGACUGCUAAUACCGCAUAAGCGCACAGCUUCGCAUGAAGCAGUGUGAAAAACUCCGGUGGUACAAGAUGGACCCGNGUCUGAUUAGCUGGUUGG